rnacentral:rRNA from 1 species
CUACAUGUAAGCUACUGUUUGAAGAUGAGCUCGCGGACCAUUAGCUUGUUGGUGGGGUAAAGGCCUACCAAGGCAACGAUGGUCAGCUGGUCUGAGAGGAUGAUCAGUCACACUGGAACUGACACACGGUCCAGACUCCUACGGGAGGCAGCAGUGAGGAAUUUUGCGCAAUGGGGAAACCCUGACGCAGCAACGCCGCGUGAGUUGAUGAAGGCCUUCGGGUCGUAAAGCUCUGUCGAGUGGGAAGAACCUGCAUUGGAGAUAAUAUUCCGAUGCACUGACGGUACCACUGGAGGAAGCACCGGCUAACUCCGUGCCAGCAGCCGCAGUAAUACGGAGGGUGCAAGCGUUAUCCGGAAUCAUUGGGCGUAAAGGGCACGUAGGCCGGUUGCUGGGUCGGAUGUGAAAUCCCGGGGCUUAACCCCGUGAAGUGCAUUCGAAAACUGGCAGACUUGAGUAUGGGAAGAGGGAAGCGGAAUUCCUGGUGUAGAGGUGAAUUUCGUAGAUAUCAGGAGGAACACCGUUGGCGAAGGCGGCCUUCCCUGGACCAAUACUGACGCUGAGGUGCGAAGGCGUGGGGAGCAAACAGGAUUAGAUACCCUGGUAGUCCACGCAGUAAACGGUGAACACUAGGUGUAGCGGGUAUUGACCCCUUGCUGUGCCGGAGUUAACGCAUUAAGUGUUCCGCCUGGGGAGUACGGCCGCAAGGUUAAAACUCAAAGGAAUUUGACGGGGGCCCGCACAAGCGGUGGAGCACGUGGUUUAAUUCGACGCAACGCGAAGAACCUUACCUGGGUUUGACAUCCCGGGAAUCCGUAUGAAAGUAUGGAGUGACCUUCGGGGAGCCCGGAGACAGGUGCUGCAUGGCUGUCGUCAGCUCGUGUCGUGAGAUGUUGGGUUAAGUCCCGCAACGAGCGCAACCCUUGUCUUCAGUUGCCAGCGAUUCGGUCGGGGACUCUGGAGAUACUGCCCCGGUUAACGGGGAGGAAGGUGGGGAUGACGUCAAGUCCUCAUGGCCUUUAUGCCCAGGGCUACACACGUGCUACAAUGGUCUGUACAAAGGGUGGCGAACCUGCGAAGGCAAGCCAAUCCCAAAAAGCAGGCCUCAGUUCGGAUUGGAGUCUGCA